rnacentral:rRNA from 1 species
GGUUAAGCGACUAAGCGUACACGGUGGAUGCCCUGGCAGUCAGAGGCGAUGAAGGGCGUGCUAAUCUGCGAUAAGCGCCGGUAAGGUGAUAUGAACCGUUAUAACCGGCGAUACCCGAAUGGGGGAAACCCAGUGUGAUUCGUCACACUAUCAUUAACUGAAUCCAUAGGUUAAUGAGGCGAACCGGGGGAACUGAAACAUCUAAGUACCCCGAGGAAAAGAAAUCAACCGAGAUUCCCCCAGUAGCGGCGAGCGAACGGGGAGGAGCCCAGAGCCUGAAUCAGCAUGUGUGUUAGUGGAAGCGUCUGGAAAGGCGCGCGAUACAGGGUGACAGCCCCGUACACAAAAGCGCAUGUGCUGUGAGCUCGAUGAGUAGGGCGGGACACGUGGUAUCCUGUCUGAAUAUGGGGGGACCAUCCUCCAAGGCUAAAUACUCCUGACUGACCGAUAGUGAACCAGUACCGUGAGGGAAAGGCGAAAAGAACCCCGGCGAGGGGAGUGAAAAAGAACCUGAAACCGUGUACGUACAAGCAGUGGGAGCACAGGUUUACCUGUGUGACUGCGUACCUUUUGUAUAAUGGGUCAGCGACUUAUAUUCUGUAGCAAGGUUAACCGAAUAGGGGGAGCCGGAGGGAAUCCGAGUCUUAAUUGGGCGUUAAGUUGCAGGGUAUAGACCCGAAACCCGGUGAUCUAGCCAUGGGCAGGUUGAAGGUUGGGUAACACUAACUGGAGGACCGAACCGACUAAUGUUGAAAAAUUAGCGGAUGACCUGUGGCUGGGGGUGAAAGGCCAAUCAAACCGGGAGAUAGCUGGUUCUCCCCGAAAGCUAUUUAGGUAGCGCCUCGUGAAUUCAUCUCCGGGGGUAGAGCACUGUUUCGGCUAGGGGGCCAUCCCGGCUUACCAACCCGAUGCAAACUGCGAAUACCGGAGAAUGUUAUCACGGGAGACACACGGCGGGUGCUAACGUCCGUCGUGAAGAGGGAAACAACCCAGACCGCCAGCUAAGGUCCCAAAGUCAUGGUUAAGUGGGAAACGAUGUGGGAAGGCCCAGACAGCCAGGAUGUUGGCUUAGAAGCAGCCAUCAUUUAAAGAAAGCGUAAUAGCUCACUGGUCGAGUCGGCCUGCGCGGAAGAUGUAACGGGGCUAAACCAUGCACCGAAGCUGCGGCAGCGACACACAGGUGUUGUUGGGUAGGGGAGCGUUCUGUAAGCCUGUGAAGGUGUGUCGUGAGGCAUGCUGGAGGUAUCAGAAGUGCGAAUGCUGACAUAAGUAACGAUAAAGCGGGUGAAAAGCCCGCUCGCCGGAAGACCAAGGGUUCCUGUCCAACGUUAAUCGGGGCAGGGUGAGUCGACCCCUAAGGCGAGGCCGAAAGGCGUAGUCGAUGGGAAACGGGUUAAUAUUCCCGUACUUGGUGUUACUGCGAAGGGGGGGACGGAGAAGGCUAUGUUGGCCGGGCGACGGUUGUCCCGGUUUAAGCGUGUAGGUGUGUGUUCCAGGUAAAUCCGGUUCACUUUAACACUGAGGCGUGAUGACGAGGCACUACGGUGCUGAAGCAACAAAUGCCCUGCUUCCAGGAAAAGCCUCUAAGCAUCAGGUAACAUCAAAUCGUACCCCAAACCGACACAGGUGGUCAGGUAGAGAAUACCAAGGCGCUUGAGAGAACUCGGGUGAAGGAACUAGGCAAAAUGGUGCCGUAACUUCGGGAGAAGGCACGCUGACAUGUAGGUGAAGUGAUUUACUCAUGGAGCUGAAGUCAGUCGAAGAUACCAGCUGGCUGCAACUGUUUAUUAAAAACACAGCACUGUGCAAACACGAAAGUGGACGUAUACGGUGUGACGCCUGCCCGGUGCCGGAAGGUUAAUUGAUGGGGUCAGCGCAAGCGAAGCUCCUGAUCGAAGCCCCGGUAAACGGCGGCCGUAACUAUAACGGUCCUAAGGUAGCGAAAUUCCUUGUCGGGUAAGUUCCGACCUGCACGAAUGGCGUAAUGAUGGCCAGGCUGUCUCCACCCGAGACUCAGUGAAAUUGAACUCGCUGUGAAGAUGCAGUGUACCCGCGGCAAGACGGAAAGACCCCGUGAACCUUUACUAUAGCUUGACACUGAACAUUGAGCCUUGAUGUGUAGGAUAGGUGGGAGGCUUUGAAGCGUGGACGCCAGUCUGCGUGGAGCCGACCUUGAAAUACCACCCUUUAAUGUUUGAUGUUCUAACGUGGACCCGUAAUCCGGGUUGCGGACAGUGUCUGGUGGGUAGUUUGACUGGGGCGGUCUCCUCCUAAAAGAGUAACGGAGGAGCACGAAGGUUGGCUAAUCCUGGUCGGACAUCAGGAGGUUAGUGCAAUGGCAUAAGCCAGCUUGACUGCGAGCGUGACGGCGCGAGCAGGUGCGAAAGCAGGUCAUAGUGAUCCGGUGGUUCUGAAUGGAAGGGCCAUCGCUCAACGGAUAAAAGGUACUCCGGGGAUAACAGGCUGAUACCGCCCAAGAGUUCAUAUCGACGGCGGUGUUUGGCACCUCGAUGUCGGCUCAUCACAUCCUGGGGCUGAAGUAGGUCCCCAAGGGUAUGGCUGUUCGCCAUUUAAAGUGGUACGCGAGCUGGGUUUAGAACGUCGUGAGACAGUUCGGUCCCUAUCUGCCGUGGGCGCUGGAGAACUGAGGGGGGCUGCUCCUAGUACGAGAGGACCGGAGUGGACGCAUCACUGGUGUUCGGGUUGUCAUGCCAAUGGCACUGCCCGGUAGCUAAAUGCGGAAGAGAUAAGUGCUGAAAGCAUCUAAGCACGAAACUUGCCCCGAGAUGAGUUCUCCCUGAGACUUAGAGUCUCCUGAAGGAACGUUGAAGACGACGACGUUGAUAGGCCGGGUGUGUAAGCGCAGCGAUGCGUUGAGCUAACCGGUACUAAUGAACCGUGAGGCUUAACCUU